UUUUUUUUUUUUUGUCAAACAUUGGUGCUUAAAAGAAUAUUAUGGUCAACUAGCUUUAGUUAAUAUCAACACAAAUGACAGAUACAUGACAGAUAAUUCAACUCCAGGAAAGAUUUUUAGUUAUUUUGUGACUGCAUUUGAAGACCAGAUAAAACCCUAGCUUUACAGUAUUAACAUUCUAUGGAAAGAAAAAGGUAUAUACAAGAUCUAGUAUACAUGAUUCUAUGAUAUAAUCACUGAAAAUCAAGAUGUAGUAUUUAAAUCUUUGUUGAUACUUUAUGCUGCUAGUCAUCAACAAAUUUAAAAAAAAAAAAAACACAUGUAGGAGAUAUUAGACAAUGAACCCAUUCAUUGCUUUAAAAUUUUGCCUCUCACAAUUACAAGAAUACAACAAAGGGAAGGGCAUUUGUAAACUCUAAUAGGGAAUUUCAGGAAAUUUAUAGCAAUAAAAUUGGACAACAUUUCAGGGGAAAAAUGCCCUACUGACUGAAAAGAGGUCACAGGCUUUGGAAACUGGAAUGGAAAAUGGACAAUUUUGUGCAGCAGCAAAGGCAGAAGUCAGAAAACUAUGAGUAGGAAUCAAGGCAGUAGAGACAGUUGUUUGUUUCCAAAUAGUCCUUCUCCCUUAUUCCUCUGGUAUAAAACCCCCACAUUUAUCUGGAUAAGCAGCUUUCCUAGUAAGACAGUAUUUCUCAUCCUCCUUGAAGUAGUUAUGUGCAGCCAUGAGUUUAAAUGCUGGCCAGUGGAAUGUGAUGCUUGCAACUUCUGUGCUCCUCACAUCCUCUUCUCCAAUUUCUAUUUUUUUUUUAGUUCUUCUUAUUAUUUUUAAUGGCUUCACUCAUAGCAUAUGCAAGUUCCUGGACAAGGAAAUGAAUCUGAGCCACAGCUGCAGCAACUCCAGAUCCUUUAACCCACCAUGUCAGUCCAGGGAUCAAAUGCUCACCUAUUCAGCGACCUGAGCCACUGCAGUCACAUUCUUAACCCACUGCACUGUGACAGGAACUCCUCCAAUUCCUUUUUUUUUUUUUGUCUUUUUGCCUUUUCUUGGGCCGCUCCUGCAGCAUAUGGCGGUUCCAAUCUCAAUAGUAGGUCAUGUUUGAAAGUUUCUUCACUUGCAAUAUUGUAUCUUUUGUAAUAUGAUAGUUAAACCAUGGGGGCUUCAUAAUUUAGCCAUUCCUUCAGAGUUGAAAAAUUCUUUAAAAACAUAACUAGAUCUUUCUUUCACAUGCUGUCAGAUCUUCAGGAUAGUUACUGAAACUAUGAGUCUUUCAACUCCAUUCACCUAGAGUGCACCAGCUGCUGACUAGGAANNNNNNNNNNNNNNNNNNNNNNNNNNNNNNNNNNNNNNNNNNNNNCUGGAAGUCUUUCCCUCAGAGCAGGAGGCAAUCCAUUGAAGCUGUUAGUGGAUGCUUAAUUGGAGACAAGAUGUUAGUAAAUGCUGCUUUGAGCUUAAGUCUCCUAGGUGAUCAGAUGAGGACCGAGGUAGACAGGAUACCAAAGCAUAACCAAUCAGAGGAGUGGGCAGUCCUGAACACAGCUUGAUCCUUUGCAUACAUGGGGUCACGCUAUUAAAAACUUCCCUGUGAAAUCCUGCAUCGCCCUGGUUAUUGCUUUAUUAUUAAAUAGCAUCACUUGUGUUAUCUUUGGGGUAGUCAUAGUUUUAAUCUUCUGUGGCAUUGAUGGCUAACUGUCCAGCAAAAGUGUGCCCUCUCUAUUUCACUUCAUGGUGUUGAUCCUGGGAGGUAGUUGCCCAAUCAGAGAUACAUUUCCUGUUUGUCUACAUAACUAGUUCCUAACAAAGGAAGAUGAACAAGAAAGACUAUGUCAUCUCCAUCCAGAAGCUUUUAAGCAUGUGAUCUGGAGAUAGCGAAUUCAGAGGCCCCAAGAGAUGAUAGAAUCAAAAGGUGGAAAUAUCCUGAGUUCUCUUCAUGGAGGAAAACUGUCUUCCAUGAAUCAGGAGGAAGACCUACAUCAAGCCCUUACAGUAGUAAGAAGUAGAAAAGGUUUGGGUUUAGUAGAUGCAAACUAUUACACUUAAAAUGCACAAACAAGGUCCUAAUCUAUAGCACAGGGAACUCUACCCAGGCUGCAGCAACGCCAGAUCCUUUAACCCACUGUGCUUGGCCAGGGAUCAAACCUGUGUCCUGGUACUGCAGAAACUCCACCAAUCCUAUUGUGCCACAGCAGGAACUCCUGGCACAAUACUGUAAAUCAACUAUACUUUAAUAUUUUUUUAUUUUAAAAAAGAAGUAAAGAAGAUUUGGUCUUUAUUAAUUGGACCAGCUAGGGUAACCCUAUAACUCCAAACUCUAGGAUAAAGGAAAAGAAAAAUACAGAUACAUAGGUCCUUGAUUUCAAGCCUGGCUUGGGAAAUGUCACAGAGUUACAAUCCUAAAAUAGAUGGGAUAGUCCCAACAUUGAUAAGCUGUAAGAAUUGAAAGGCAUUUCAUAACUCCACAACAUUUCAUAAAUGUUGACAGUCAUUUUUUAGUAAGAAUUUUAAAAUCAUUAGAAGGAGUUGGGAUCCCUCACUGAGAUAGAUUAUCAAAAUGAAGGAAAUAUCUAAUUUGGCAAAUGAGAAACAAAGAGAUUAAAAACAUGGUUGAGGGCAAGAGUGUAAGAGAGGAACAAAGGACAUCGAGUAUUUUCUCUAGGCCAGAAGUACUCAAACAAGUUAUUCCAUCUCAAAUUUACCCUCCUUGAUAUGGUUAUUAUCAAUCUUAUUUACUUGCUAAAAUAUCAAGUCAGAUUAAAGGCGUGAUAGCACUUGCAAACUGUAAAGUACUAAGAAAAGUGAAGCAAUAUCACUGCUAAUAAAUUAAUCAGAACAGGUCUGCAGAUAGAAGGAUAAUAAAAUUAUAUUAAUUUCAUAUAUCUUUCAGAUCAAAUUUAGAAGUUCAAAGAAAAUUGUAAUUAUACAUUAAUAUAGGCAGUAGAAGUUAGAAUUAAAAUGGGAGUGAGAGGUAAGUGGGUGAUUUAUUCAAGAAGUGAGCAAAUUAACAUUUCAAUGCAAAGCAUAUAUCUUCUUUUUAGAAAAUAAGACUAUCUGGACUAUUAGAUUUGUUUCAAUACAGGAAACAGGUCAUUUUAAGACCGAGCUAUUUAAUUGUGUACUUUUUAAAAUCUAUCCAAUUUGCUGAAAUAAUUGCAUUCCAUGUUUUAAAAUAGACCAUUUAUUACUCCAUAAAGAAAAAUUAAUAGUCAAGAUUUGUAUUCAUUUACAAGUUGAAAGAUUAUUCUAAUUGUUUUGAUCUGUUUCUGAGAAUUUCUAUAGCAACUGUCACCAUAGCUUUUAAAUUUUCAGUUAAAGCUAUUAAAAGAUGAGAAACAUUUCAGCCAGUAAAAAAUUUUUACAUUGAUCUAAAAUUAAAGAGUAUGGAAUACGAGAAGAAAGCAAAAAAAGAGAGAAAGGUAUUUUUUCACUGUUUGCUUAUGUGAACUAAUUACCUUGGGAAAAUAUUGAUAUUCCGAAAGGAUGAGAAAGAAAUAAAAUGUAUCAGAGAGGAGUUCCCUUGUGGCCUUAGCACUAGGACUCUAUUGUCACUGCUGUGGCUCAGGCUACUGAGCCUGUGAUACAGGUUCAAUCCCUAGCCCAGGAACUCCACAUUCCAAAGACACAGACAAAAACAAAAAAAAAAAGGUAUCUGAGAAAUGGUUCAGUUAUAUCAGUUAUAUCUGUGCUAAGGUAAUUAGUGUAGUUUGACUUGACUUGGGGAAUGUCAAGCCAAGCACCUAACUCCCAGGACUAAGGAUUCCAAGAGUUCACCUGAGGGAUCCACCAGGCCCACUUGGAAGCUUCAGUUAUUGGCCUGGACAGCAAGGCUCAUGAGGCCCCUGCCUUGAUAACUCAGCAUCUUGCUGAUUUUCCCUCUACCAUCAUCCAUGCCAUCCACACCAGGACUCUGAUGGUGGCCAUGCCUCAUAAAAAUAUUUUCAUCAAGUCUCUUAGAGCCUGGCUUGUGACUCAUCUUAGUUCCACUGUGCUUGAAGCCCAUCCUUCCCUUGGCCCAACCUGGGUGUCCCUUCUUCCACCCCAAGCCAUUUGUCUACUCGCUGGCCCCUGAAUCUCUUGGUCACCUCUGCUGUCUGCUGUGGCCACGUCACCUAUGUCCCUUUUCCGUUUUCUGUCUAAUAGUCCACCAAGGCCUUACCUACUGCUGGGGUCAUUCUUUCUGGGCUUAGACUAGGUUGUUGCCACCCCAAACCUGGUACUGUAACAUAUACAAACAUGGGAUGUGAGGCUCCAGCGUGGAAUAUCAGACAGAUUCUAACAUUGCAGGACACCAAAGUCAAGUGAACCCCCUUCUAUUCAAAAACAUGAAAUAAACCUCAAAUAACAGUAAAAUACUAAUAAUCAGCUUUAUAUUUAUAAUUUUUAAUAUUUACAAUCAGAAAAAUUAAGUUUUAAGAAUUUCUUUAAAGGAAAAUACUACUGUUAGGGCCUACAUGGGGACUCAUUGUUAAAAUGGCUCAAUCUGCUGACCUCACAAAUAAAAUAUGAGGGCGCAGUAACCCCUGAGACUGACCACCUUGCUCUAGCAACACCCUGAUUUUACCACUGGUGCUUACUUUCCCAAGACUACAAGAUCCCCCUACCAUGGGACACCGCACACUUCAGCUUUCUCAAGAUUACAAGACCACCCUACCGUGGGACACCUCUGACUUUCUCAUGACUACAUGACCAUCAGAGUCCAGCUGCAGGCAAAAGAUAAACUAACUCUUCCUCCCACCCCCCCCCACCGCUUCAGGGAAUCCAGUUUCCCACCUGCGGGGUAUAAGAAGGCCCUGCCAGAAGGGCUGGGGGCUGGCUCUUUUAAACGGUCAGUCACCCUCUUCUUUUCCCUCUAAUAAAUUUUCUUCUCUUUGCCUGAACACCUGGCUUGUUCUCUUUUUCUCUGCAUUAGCCUUACAACUACUAGAAAGGGAAUGUAAAUAUUUUAAUUCACUAAGAGAAAACAAAAAAUAGAGACCCAGUGGCAAACAAAAUUGCAAGGAAGCCCGGAAAACAGAAAAUAAGAAUAAGAUAACCGAAGUAAGAAAUUAAACCUUACUUUUUUUCUUUAUAUAUUUUGUAUGCCCUUUUUUUCCUCAGAAAUUUUUCUUCUAGGAUUUUAUUCUAAAGAAACCAUGACUGAUGCAUCAAAGAUAACUACAAGGUUUGUUCACUGCAGUUUUGUUUACUAAUGCAAAAAAUGGAAAAAAUGUC
rnacentral:lncRNA from 1 species